UUCUAGGACAGAUUAAGAAACAAUGGGGAGGGUGCAACAUGGGUGGUUUAAAUGGUCCUUGCACUCACUUCAUUGGCCUACAGUAAGGAGGUGAUACAGUAGAAGCUGUUGGGCUCCUGGAAAUAAAGAUUCUGAGAAGACUCUGCCAACCUACUGGAUGAAGAACUUCAACAUGGAAGACAUGACCAUCGGAGUAACCUUGUUUCUCUGUCUGACUGACCAGCUUCUGCAUCCUAGAUCACUCAGAGCAGAGAUGGUGGGAUGGAUCUGCCAUCAGACCUUGCUGCCGGUGGGACGCAGUCCCCAACUCACCUUCCCUUUCACCCUCACCGGUUAAGUCCUUGGUGAGAAGAAUGCACAGAUUCACCAACAGUGACCAGGGGAAAGGAGGGGAGAAGCUCCUACAGCCUGAGGCCCCGGGAGAAGAUGCAGCUGAGACGUACAUGAGGUGCUUCAAGGACAUUCAGAAAGAGAAACGGCAGUU